GAUGAACGCUGGCGGUAUGCUUAACACAUGCAAGUCGAACGAAUUCCUUCGGGAAUUAGUGGCGGACGGGUGAGUAACACGUGAGAACCUACCUUCAGAAUGGGGAUAACAGUUGGAAACGACUGCUAAUACCCGAUGUGCCGAGAGGUGAAAGAUUUAUCGUCUGAAGAAGGGCUCGCGGCUGAUUAGCUAGUUGGUAGGGUAAAGGCUUACCAAGGCAACGAUCAGUAACUGGUCUGAGAGGAUGAGCAGUCACACUGGAACUGAGAAACGGUCCAGACUCCUACGGGAGGCAGCAGUGGGGAAUUUUCCGCAAUGGGCGAAAGCCUGACGGAGCAAUACCGCGUGAGGGAGGAAGGUUCUUGGAUUGUAAACCUCUUUUCUAGGGGAAUAAAAAAAUGAAGGUACCCUAGGAAUAAGCAUCGGCUAACUCCGUGCCAGCAGCCGCGGUAAUACGGAGGAUGCAAGCGUUAUCCGGAAUUAUUGGGCGUAAAGAGUCCGUAGGUGGAAGUUCAAGUCUGUCGUUAAAGAAUGGAGCUUAACUCCAUAGAGGCGGUGGAAACUGAGCAACUAGAGUGCGGUAGGGGUAACGGGAAUUCCCAGUGUAGCGGUGAAAUGCGUAGAUAUUGGGAAGAACAUCGGUGGCGAAAGCGCGUUACUGGGCCGAAACUGACACUGAGGGACGAAAGCUAGGGUAGCGAAAGGGAUUAGAUACCCCUGUAGUCCUAGCCGUAAACGAUGGAUACUAGGCGUAGCACG
rnacentral:rRNA from 1 species